rnacentral:misc_RNA from 1 species
UGUCAGGAAGAAAAUAAAAUUUUAGACAAAAUGCAUAGACAAAAGGUUGCGGAGGUUGAAAAGCUUACCCAGACUGUAAGAGAACUGGAAGAGGCAGUUCUUGCUGGUGGUGCAGCAGCGAAUGCUGUGAGGGAUUACCAACGGAAAGUUCAGGAGAUGAAUGAGGAAAGAAAAACUCUUGACCGAGAGCUGGCCCGUGCAAAAGUAACUGCAAACAGAGUGGCCACAGUGGUAGCAAAUGAGUGGAAAGAUGCAAAUGACAAAGUUAUGCCUGUCAAACAAUGGCUUGAAGAACGCCGAUUUUUGCAGGGAGAAAUGCAGCAACUUCGUGACAAGCUCACUAUUGCUGAGCGAACUGCAAAGUCUGAAGCACAUUUGAAAGAUAAAUAUCAGUUGAGGCUCAAAGUGCUAGA